CUGAGGCAAGUUUUUCCACACAGAAGAUGGUUAUUAUAUAGAAUGAGUUGUCAAAGGAAUUGGAAAAGUCAGAUAUGUUUACAGUAUUUUAAAAGGCAUUUAAGCAGGUACUUGGAUAGCAAAAGAGUAGAGGAAUACAGGCCUAAUGUAUUACAGCUGGCAUGGGUAAAUUGGACUGCAGGGCCCAUUUCAGUGGUAUACAGCUGGACAGGAGCUUUCAUUGACAGCCCCGUGAUAGGCGCUGGUUUAUCCACUAUACAAACUGAAGAGAAAUAAAGUGACAGCAGGAACCUGGAUGAAAAGCAGCUCUCUGAUCAAAGAAUGCAAGGUAGCACCCUAGAUGUGUCCUUCUGAAUAUAUCUAUACAGAUGGUGCCCUGAAAUCUUUGAUCAAUAAGAUCAGACCUCCUAAUCUGUUGUAUAAAUGAUGAGUUACUCCAUGAUCCUUUGAAAUCUGCAAGAACUAUUCUCGUCUGGAAAGCAUCAGGGGUUACAUUUGCUUGCUUGAAAAGUGCAGCUCUGGGCAGUUUGAGGUGAGAUUUGUGUAUACAAUGCUUAACAUGGCACGAUGGCUGGUAGAGCUGGAGAGACAAGGCGGCAGAUGCUGCAAUCUGUUGAAGGAACUCAGUGGGUCAGUCAGCAUUUGUGUUGAGGGCUGUGGGGGAAAGGGAUUAUUAAUAUUUUAGGUUGAAACCCUACGUCAGACCAACAACAUUUCUUUCACCCCACCUCACCACUAUAGAUGCUGUUGAACUUGCUGUGCUCCUCCAGCAGAUUGUUUGUAACUUAUGGAGCUGACGCUUCACAAAUCCACUGUAAACAGGAUUCAGUCUGUGUGGAGUUUGCCUGUUCUACUGUGACCAUGUGGGUUACCACUGGAUGCUUCAGUUUCACAGUGAUGUGCGGAUGGGAUGAAGUACGCGCUGCAGCAAGUAUGUCAGGAUCCAAAUUGUUUUCCCAGGUUUAAGUGAUAUUCAUGAGAAAUCCAUUUUAAGAAGCUGUAAUAUAAUCAAGGCAGUAAAUGGAGAGGUCAUGAUGCACGCUUCAGUCAGACUAUUCAGAAGCAGAUGCAAAGUACAGUGCAGUAGUAUGGGUAGCAAGUGGGGAAAAUCGGCUGGGAUGUGAAUUCAUUUCAAUUUUUUAAAGUAGUGCCUCCCAGAGUCCAACCCUAUGUCCCAAUCAUGAGAAGUGGAAAUGGGUAAGGCCAUCCAAGUGAAGUUGUAUAAGCUGAUCCCCUGUACAGUGGAUGCAAUGGAAGUGUUGAUAAACUCCAACCAUACCAUCAGCUUGAGAGGACAAUGGAGAUGGGAGGUCAUCGAUGGCAUAUGCUCCAGUUAAGGGCACAAAAAUUCAGAGAACUACCCUGCAAACUCAGACUGCUGCCAUCUCUGUCUUUGGAUACCGGAGAUUCAGGGCAUCGUAGCAUCCAAUAAUCCUUCCAGUAAACUAUCGGGAUUCCUGAUACACCAUGCUAGAAGGAAUACAAAUGCUCUGUGGACAGCCAACAUCCUCCCAGAGGAAAUGACAAUACAGCCAGAGGGACACGGUUUGAAAGAAAUAGGCUUCCCUUCGUGGACUCAAUCUACACUUCGUGCUGUCAGAUGUUCUCUCUUCUCUCCUCUCCCAGUGGGCAGAAAUUACAAAAGCCUGAAAGAGCCUCAAAGACAACUUCUAUCCCACUGAUAUAAGUCUACUGAAUAGUCCCUUAGUGUAGUAGGAUGGACUCUUGACCUCGCAAUCUGCCUCAUUGUGGUCUUGCUCCAUAAAGCCGGUAAUUUCUCUGUAGCUGUAACAACUUAUUCCCUAUUCUGUUGUUUUCACUGUGCUACCUCAAUGCACUGUUGUAAAGAAACAAGCUGUAUGGAUGACAUAAGAAACCAAAGGUUUCACUGUAUGUGACAAUAAUAAACAAAUUCUAAUUCUGAUUCCAAUUAACUAAUUUUCAGAUAAAAUUUACAAUUCUUUGUUACUCCUCAUGGGGAAUCAUGGAUGUGCGAUUAUAGAAUAUAAUUAAUUUUUUGCUCAUGAGUACAAUCUGCAAAAGAAGUUAAGGGAGGUGUUAAAUAAAUGUUUGUUGCGGAAAAAAAUGAAUAAUUCAUUAACCUUGCAGUUGCCAGUGAGCCCGGUUGGUGAAACAAACAAAUUCCUGCUGGUUUGUGAUAAAGACAUAUCUGUGAGUGGCAUGGAUAGCAAAAAUGCCACAUGAAUAAAGAAACCUGUUGUAUUGAACUGCUGAAAUUGGAUAAAUGAUUCCUGGUUGCUGAGGUAAGGGUUUGUAAAGUACCAGAGUCUAAUGCUGGUGACAGGUUUUAUUGCUCGUAUUCAUCAAUCUGGAUGAGCAGCAGAAAUUGUAUUUUUCUUCCUGCACUGCAGGAAAGCAACUAAGUGAGUCUCAAGUCACUGAAUUUGAAAUCCUAAUGCAAUGAGCAGUCUCAUAGAUGAUCUCCUGUUGGCAAAUACAGAUGGAGUGGAGAAGUCUCUGUCAGAUCCUCUUUUCAGCGUGCUGCAAAGUCACAUGUAAGACACACAGCGCAGCUACCUGGGAGUUAACUCACUUUGCUGGACAUUUUGUGACUUAUUUCCUGCCACGUGGGAAUUGUGUUACAGAUCCACUAAUUUACAUUUAAUUGAGGUGACCCUGUCAUUUCAGUACUGGUAAGGAAUGAUGAUUGCAAGCCACAACAUGGCAAAACCUGUGAACUUUGAUGGUAAAAACUCAUUAAAUAUAUAAUGGACUAAUCAAUUAACUAGGAUAUCAGCAGGUAAUUGUUUUAAAUUUAGAAAAUAGUUUGAAAUAGUAUUUCAAACUUUUUCUGUACUUUUAAAGAAAAUUUCAAACCAAACCCUUUGACUGCCUUAUUUGGUAUUGUUGGAGGAAAAGAUAUUAUCUAGGAGGCACCUGAUUUGCACAUUUUGGCUUUUAUUUCUCUUAUAGCUGGGAGGGCAUGUUGCUUAGGUGGAAUGAUGUUGCUCUGCCUACUCAUGCUCAAAGGCGAAGUGAUGUUAUGGCAUGUUUAUAUUCAGAGAAGAUUCGUUAUUCAAUUUCUGAAUCAAGACAAGACUUUCUAACAUUAUGGGGACCUUUUUUGAAUUAUUUUCAAAAUCUUUGAUUUGUUAUCAAGUACAGAUAAUAAUGGCUAAUAAUAUGCUUUACUAUAUAAGGAUUUUUUUCCAUUCUUCUUUCUUUACCAAGCAGCUUUUCUUGGUAGUGGGUUUAGAUUUUUUUUUGUAUAAUAAAAUGAUUACUUUUCAAUAUUACGAUUCAAUUUAAUUUAAAUGAAUAUGGGGUAAUGAGACAAUAAGUGUGAUUCAAAUAUAUUGUAAUUGAUGUAUGA